ACACAUGCAAGUCGAGGGGCAUCAGGAAGAAAGCUUGCUUUCUUUGCUGGCGACCGGCGCACGGGUGAGUAACACGUAUCCAACCUGCCCUUUACUCGGGGAUAGCCUUUCGAAAGAAAGAUUAAUACCCGAUAGCAUAAUGAUUCCGCAUGGUUUCAUUAUUAAAGGAUUCCGGUAAAGGAUGGGGAUGCGUUCCAUUAGGUUGUUGGUGGGGUAACGGCCCACCAAGCCUUCGAUGGAUAGGGGUUCUGAGAGGAAGGUCCCCCACAUUGGAACUGAGACACGGUCCAAACUCCUACGGGAGGCAGCAGUGAGGAAUAUUGGUCAAUGGGCGCUAGCCUGAACCAGCCAAGUAGCGUGAAGGAUGAAGGCUCUAUGGGUCGUAAACUUCUUUUAUAUAAGAAUAAAGUGCAGUAUGUAUACUGUUUUGUAUGUAUUAUAUGAAUAAGGAUCGGCUAACUCCGUGCCAGCAGCCGCGGUAAUACGGAGGAUCCGAGCGUUAUCCGGAUUUAUUGGGUUUAAAGGGAGCGUAGGUGGACUGGUAAGUCAGUUGUGAAAGUUUGCGGCUCAACCGUAAAAUUGCAGUUGAUACUGUCAGUCUUGAGUACAGUAGAGGUGGGCGGAAUUCGUGGUGUAGCGGUGAAAUGCUUAGAUAUCACGAAGAACUCCGAUUGCGAAGGCAGCUCACUGGACUGCAACUGACACUGAUGCUCGAAAGUGUGGGUAUCAAACAGGAUUAGAUACCCUGGUAGUCCACACAGUAAACGAUGAAUACUCGCUGUUUGCGAUAUACAGUAAGCGGCCAAGCGAAAGCAUUAAGUAUUCCACCUGGGGAGUACGCCGGCAACGGUGAAACUCAAAGGAAUUGACGGGGGCCCGCACAAGCGGAGGAACAUGUGGUUUAAUUCGAUGAUACGCGAGGAACCUUACCCGGGCUUAAAUUGCAGUGGAAUGAUGUGGAAACAUGUCAGUGAGCAAUCACCGCUGUGAAGGUGCUGCAUGGUUGUCGUCAGCUCGUGCCGUGAGGUGUCGGCUUAAGUGCCAUAACGAGCGCAACCCUUAUCUUUAGUUACUAACAGGUCAUGCUGAGGACUCUAGAGAGACUGCCGUCGUAAGAUGUGAGGAAGGUGGGGAUGACGUCAAAUCAGCACGGCCCUUACGUCCGGGGCUACACACGUGUUACAAUGGGGGGUACAGAAGGCAGCUAGCGGGUGACCGUAUGCUAAUCCCAAAAGCCUCUCUCAGUUCGGAUCGAAGUCUGCAACCCGACUUCGUGAAGCUGGAUUCGCUAGUAAUCGCGCAUCAGCCAUGGCGCGGUGAAUACGUUCCCGGGCCUUGUACACACCGCCCGUCAAGCCAUGAAAGCCGGGGGUACCUGAAGUACGUAACCGCAAGGAUCGUCCUAGGGUAAAACUGGUGACUGGGGCUAA
rnacentral:rRNA from 1 species